rnacentral:rRNA from 1 species
AUUGAACGCUGGCGGCAUGCCUUACACAUGCAAGUCGAACGGCAGCGCGGGAGCAAUCCUGGCGGCGAGUGGCGAACGGGUGAGUAAUACAUCGGAACGUGCCCAAUCGUGGGGGAUAACGCAGCGAAAGCUGUGCUAAUACCGCAUACGAUCUACGUAUGAAAGCAGGGGAGCGCAAGACCUUGCGCGAUUGGAGCGGCCGAUGGCAGAUUAGGUAGUUGGUGGGGUGAAGGCUCACCAGGCCUUCAAUCUGUAGAGGGUCUGUGAGGACGACCAGCCACACUGGGACUGGGACACGGCCACGACUCCUACGGGAGGCAGCAGUGGGGAAUUUUAGACAAUGGGCGAAAGCCUGAUCCAGCCAUGCCGCGUGCAGGAUAAAGGCCUUCGGGUUGUAAACUGCUUUUGUACGGAACGAAACGGUCUUUUCUAAUAAAGAAGGCUAAUGACGGUACCGGAAGAAUAAGCACCGGCUAACUACGUG